GUGUGUGUGCAUGUGUUGUGUCUUAUAUACACACACACACACACACACACACACACACACAUACACACACCC
rnacentral:miRNA from 1 species